rnacentral:tRNA from 1 species
GCCCGGAUAGCUCAGUCGGUAGAGCAUCAGACUUUUACGGAUGACUACUGUAAGUUAUCUGAGGGUCCAGGGUUCGAGUCCCUGUUCGGGCG